UACAGAGGUCUCAAGCGUUGUUCGGAUUCAUUGGGCGUAAAGGGUGCGUAGGUGGCGCGGUAAGUCGGGUGUGAAAUUUCGGAGCUUAACUCCGAAACUGCAUUCGAUACUGCCGUGCUUGAGGACUGGAGAGGAGACUGGAAUUUACGGUGUAGCAGUGAAAUGCGUAGAGAUCGUAAGGAAGACCAGUGGCGAAGGCGGGUCUCUGGACAGUUACUGACGCUGAGGCACGAAGGCCAGGGGAGCAAACGGG
rnacentral:rRNA from 1 species